rnacentral:rRNA from 1 species
GACGAACGCUGGCGGCGUGCUUAACACAUGCAAGUCGAACGGAAAGGCCCUGCUUUUGUGGGGUGCUCGAGUGGCGAACGGGUGAGUAACACGUGAGUAACCUGCCCUUGACUUUGGGAUAACUUCAGGAAACUGGGGCUAAUACCGGAUAGGAGCUCCUGCUGCAUGGUGGGGGUUGGAAAGUUUCGGCGGUUGGGGAUGGACUCGCGGCUUAUCAGCUUGUUGGUGGGGUAGUGGCUUACCAAGGCUUUGACGGGUAGCCGGCCUGAGAGGGUGACCGGCCACAUAGGGACUGAGAUACGGCCCAGACUCCUACGGGAGGCAGGAGUGGGGAAUAUUGCACAAUGGGCGGAAGCCUGAUGCAGCAACGCCGCGUGCGGGAUGACGGCCUUCGGGUUGUAAACCGCUUUCGCCUGUGACGAAGCGUGAGUGACGGUAAUGGGUAAAGAAGCACCGGCUAACUACGUG